AUGGUGAUGGAUCUUCCCCUGCUCCGUGUUGGCAUCUUCUGCGUGCCCAUGCUGUCUCCAUGCCCAUGCCGUCUCCAUGCCCAUGCCAUGUCCAUGCCCAUGCCCAUGCUGUGCCCACACCAUGUCCAUGCCAUCCCCAUGUCUAUACUAUGCCCACACCAUGACCACAGCAUCCCCAUGACCAUGCUUUGCUCAUGCCAUGCCCAUGCCUUCACCAUGUCCAUGCUGUGCCCCUGCCAUGUCUAUGCCUUCACCAUGUCCACGCUGUGCCCCUGCCAUGUCUAUGCCCAUCCCCAUGCCGUGCCCAUGCCCAUCCCCAUGCUGUGCCCACAUCAUGUCCAUGCCAUCCCCAUGCCCAUGCUUUGCUCACGCCAUCCCCACACCUUCACCAUGUCCAUGUCCACGCUGUGCCCACGCCAUCCCCGUGCCCAUGCUUUGCUCACACCAUCCCCAUGCCUUCACCAUGUCCAUGUCCAUGCCCAUGCUGUCCCCAUGCCCACACCAUGCCCAUGCUUUGCUCACGCCAUCCCCACACCUUCACCAUGUCCAUGUCCACGCUGUGCCCACACCAUCCCCGUGCCCAUGCUUUGCUCACGCCAUCCCCACACCUUCACCAUGUCCACACUGUGCCCAUGCCAUCCCCAUGCCCAUGCUUUGCUCACGCCAUCCCCACGCCUUCUCCAUGUCCAUGUCCAUGCUGUGCCCACGCCAUCCCCGUGCCCAUGCUUUGCUCACACCAUCCCCACACCUUCACCAUGUCCAUGUCCACGCUGUGCCCGCACCAUCCCCAUGCUUUGCUCACGCCAUCUCCACAUCCACACUGUGCCCAUGCCACCCCCAUGCCCACACCAUGCCCGUGCCACCCCCAUACCCACACUAUCCCCUCGCCCAUGCCUGUGCCGUCGCCCUCAUCCUGCGCCCGGGCCCUGCGGAAUAAAGGAGCGAUUCCAAGUCCUGCGUCUUGCUGCUCUGGGCCCAGGGUCAGCCCCGGGGACAGGGGGACACGGGCCGGGCUGGCGACAGGAGGGGACACAGCAGGGCUGGGGCCAAAGGGGUCCCCGGGCCCUGAAGGUGCUCAGGACCUUGGCGGAUCCCGAACGGGGAGCGCGGAUGGAGGCGGAAGGCUCGCACAAAUCCAGGAUGCUUUUUUCCCCCCACUUAAAACCUCGCCCAAAGCAAAUCACGGCUCCCUCCCGAAAGUCCCUUCGCCCCGUGGCGGCAGCGAGGCCACGGACACGGCUUUUUUUGGUAAAACAGGAAGAGAGGAGGAAAAAAAAAUAUAGAUAG
rnacentral:lncRNA from 1 species